CAGACAGACCUGACAACAAGCCAUCGGAUGUGAGCCUUUGAUAUGGGCGCUGCGCUGGUAUUUAAAUUAUUCGGUUAACCAAGAGGCAAAUGAACAACCCCUGCAGACAUUUCAUUGUCAUUAAGUGUAUACUAUAGUUGCUUCCCUGCCCUCUCACCAUGCCGAGCAAUAAGCAUGACAGGCCCGAGGGCAAUGAUAAUGUCAAGGUGGUGGUGCGAUGUCGUCCCUUCAACCAGAAAGAGAAGAUGAUGAACCACAAACAGGCUGUCCUUGUUGACGAGAUCCGUGGGACCAUAACAGUAAACAAACUAGAGACUCCUCAUGAGCCUCCUAAGACUUUCACAUUUGACACCGUGUUUGGACCAGACAGCAAACAGCUCGAUGUCUACAACCUCACUGCCCGUCCCAUCAUUGACUCAGUAUUAGAGGGAUACAAUGGCACCAUUUUUGCAUAUGGACAAACUGGCACAGGAAAAACCUUCACCAUGGAGGGUGUGAGAGCAGUGCCAGAACUCAGAGGGAUAAUCCCAAACUCCUUUGCUCAUGUUUUUGGUCACAUUGCCAAGGCAGAAGGUGACACAAGGUUCUUGGUUCGUGUUUCGUACCUGGAGAUUUACAAUGAGGAAGUGCGAGACUUGCUUGGAAAGGACCAGUUGCAGAGGCUUGAGGUCAAAGAGAGACCAGAUGUCGGCGUGUACAUAAAAGACCUCUCUGGCUAUGUCGUGAACAAUGCUGACGACAUGGACAGGAUUAUGACUCUGGGUCACAAAAACCGGUCUGUCGGUGCCACCAACAUGAAUGAACACAGCUCCCGUUCUCAUGCUAUCUUCACCAUCACCAUCGAAUGCAGUGAGAAGGGUGUGGAUGGAAACCAGCAUGUGCGCAUGGGGAAACUUCAUCUGGUUGAUCUUGCAGGCUCGGAGAGACAGGGCAAGACUGGAGCCACAGGUCAGCGUUUAAAGGAGGCAACAAAGAUCAAUCUGUCUCUCUCCACGCUGGGCAACGUCAUCUCUGCCCUGGUGGACGGCAAAAGCACACACGUGCCCUACAGAAACUCCAAACUUACCCGUCUGCUGCAGGAUUCCCUGGGAGGAAACUCAAAGACUAUGAUGUGUGCGAAUAUAGGCCCUGCAGACUAUAACUACGAUGAGACCAUCAGUACCCUGCGUUACGCUAACAGGGCUAAAAACAUCAAGAACAAAGCCAGGAUCAAUGAGGAUCCAAAGGAUGCCCUGUUACGCCAGUUUCAGAAGGAGAUUGAGGAGCUAAAGAAAAAACUGGUGGAAGGUGAAGAGAUCUCUGGCUCAGAGGGCAGUGGAUCAGAAGAGAUGGAUGAAGGUGAUGAUGAAGGAAGGGUGGAAGGAGAAUGCCGCAGGAGAAGAAGAGGGAGGAAGAAGGUUUCCCCGGACAAGAUGGUGGAGAUGCAGGCAAAGAUUGAUGAGGAAAGAAAGGCCUUGGAGGCCAAGCUGGACAUGGAGGAAGAGGAGAGGAACAAGGCAAGAGCCGAGCUGGAGAAGAGGGAGAAGGACCUUCUUAAAGCUCAGCAGGAGCAUCACCUUCUGCUGGAUAAAUUGUCGGCCUUAGAGAAGAAGGUGAUCGUGGGUGGGGUGGACCUUUUGGCCAAGGCUGAGGAGCAGGAGAAGCUUCUGCAGGAGUCCAAUAAUGAAUUGGAAGAACGUCGCAGGAGAGCGGAGCAGCUGCGGAGGGAGCUGGAGGAGAAGGAGCAAGAACGUCUGGACAUCGAAGAGAAGUACACCUCUCUGCAGGAGGAGGCUCAAGGAAAGACCAAGAAGCUGAAGAAAGUCUGGACCAUGCUGAUGGCUGCCAAAUCAGAAAUGGCAGAUCUGCAGCAGGAGCAUCACAGAGAGAUCGAGGGCCUCCUGGAGAACAUCCGGCAGCUCAGUCGAGAGCUGCGGCUGCAGAUGCUCAUCAUAGACAACUUCAUUCCCCAGGAGUACCAGGAGAUGAUAGAGAACUAUGUGCACUGGAAUGAAGACAUCGGAGAAUGGCAGCUGAAAUGUGUGGCAUACACUGGCAACAACAUGAGAAAACAGACCCCUGCUCCAGACAAAAAAGAAAAAGAUCCUUUUGAGGUGGAUCUGUCCAAUGUGUAUCUAGCCUACACAGAGGAGAGCAUGCGGCAGUCCCUGAUGAAACUAGAGAGACCCAGAACCUCUAAAAGUGGCAAGAGUGGCCGACCCAAGACGGGGCGCAGGUAAUCUACUUCUUACAUAGACCGCCUGAAGAUUCAAAUCCUCUUGAAGAUUACUGAUACUCCAGUAUACUGAAAAGAUCUGCAAAGCCAGAAGCUGUUAUCGAAUCCCUCCUGCAGUGAAGACAGAGCAGAGGGGAGAUUGGUUUCCAUGCAGCUUUCGUGUCACCUUAGCAAAAUAAGUGUCUGAAGAAUUUUAUUGUUGAACAUUAUUUAAAAGAUUAUCUGAAUACACUGUAUAACUGGUAUGGUUUAAAAUGUGACAGUUGCACCACAAUAGGAUCAAGACCUCUUGGCCAAAAGGACAUGCUUUAGGUAUUAUACUGUAAGGUUUCUUUAUGGAUAUUAAACAUUUCAAUCAUACUAUGAAAUGCAUGUUUGCGGCAGCAGCUCCAAUUUAAAGGAAAGAAAAAAAACCUUUUACCUAAGAGACUCUAACAUUAAACAAACAAUAAUUACCGUAAAAAUGUCUCACUUGCAACAUCAUUGGUUUUGCAAACACUCAAAAGGACCUAACCUAUAAACUGCAUUCAUAUCUUCUGACAUGUGCUGAAUAUAUUUAACUUACUUUGCGCUUUGUGAUAAAGAAUUCAGGGCGUAUUUUCACUUAAAUUAAAGCAAUGGUUCUGCUCUGAGCACAAGCUAUAGCAUUCGUGUUUUUUUCCUACAAUAAAUCCUGAACAUGGAGAGAAACUAAUAUUAACAUUAAUAAUGAGGGAGGGAAUUUAAAAUCAUAUAACUAAAACGUGCAUUCUAUACAUUUUACUUAGGACAAAAGGAUAGGGGCAUGCAUGCCAGCUCUUAGUGCCAUUUGCGUCAUCUUUUAAUUUAUUUAGACAUGUCAAAACCCUUUGUGUUAUAUUAAAAAACACUAUACAUAUUGUAUGCCUUAGGUGAAUGCACUAGUAGAAUAUUUUUGUGAAAAUAAUUUGAUUUAAUGAUGUUCUGUAGUGGAGGCUAACUGGCUUUUACUUUGUAUCAUAUUGUAUGUCAAAUGUUUACAUCCAUCUAACCCCUGGAUAUUUUAUUUAUUAAAUUAUUUUACACCUUUUAUCUCA